rnacentral:rRNA from 1 species
AUUGAACGCUGGCGGCAGGCCUAAUACAUGCAAGUCGAGCGGAGCGGCGGACGGGUGAGUAAUGCCUAGGAAUCUGCCUGGUAGUGGGGGAUACCGUCCGGAAACGGGCGCUAAUACCGCAUACUAUCAGAUGAGCCUAGGUCGGAUUAGCUAGUUGGUGGGGUAAAGGCCUACCAAGGCGACGAUCCGUAACUGGGCUGAGAGGAUGAUCAGUCACACUGGAACUGAGACACGGUCCAGAUUCCUACGGGAGGCAUCAGUUGGGAAUAUUGGACAAUGGCAGAAAGCCUGAUACAGCCAUGCCGCGUGUGUGAAGAAGGUCUUCGGAUUGUAAAGCACUUUAAGUUGGGAGGCGUUACCAACAGAGUAAGCACCGGCUAACUUCGUGCCAGCAGCCGCGGUAAUAC